GUACUUUCACUUGCCUUAAUGUGGCCCAAGUUCUUCUUUAAGCACAAAGGACUUACUCUCAGGAUUAAAACACUGUUUAAGCACCCAGGUUGUUACAGCUGGACUCCUCAAGUCCCUCGGUCCAACCCUACUUGUGUCUACCCUUUACAGCCCUAGUACAUCGGCAUGAACCUUUCGCUUGACCUUCACGUCAUGUCGUUGACCGCCAUGUCGCAUCCUACACCUGCACAUCACAAGCCAAGAGACACAACACACAAGAUAUGUUUUGUACAAAGACCACAACACAACACAUCCAGUUAGCCAUUAGCAUAAUCAUGCACAUAUAAAGUAUGAACUCAACCGGUAAAGCCUCAAAUCAUCUAGUCAAUCACUCAUCACAAAUAGACCAAGACACAUCUCAACUUGGUCUCUCAAUCUCCCCCUUGAUAAGUGCAUUGAGAAAAGAUUAUUUGAAAGAAAAAGAAAAACUCAUUCAAGUGCCCAAAUGCUAAGUAAAAGCAAACACAACGCAACUUGAUGAGAAAGGAUCAUGAAGAUUGAAACAAAAAUUCUAGGUUGCAUCAAAGCUAUUUCUCAAUCUCCUCCUUGAUGAAUCCCACAACACAACCAAAGAGUCAAGCAAAAGACACAAGAGCUUCAUGAAUCCCAAACUGCCGUCAAAGCCAUUUCAACAUUUGUCAAACGCUCAUCACUAUAAAAUCAAGGUUCAUAUCAACUUGAUUUUCUCAAUCUCCCCCUCUAUGAGUAUGUUGACAACAUUCAAGCACAAAUAAACGGUUUGAGAGGUAAAAGCCAAAAAUCUCAUCCAAGUGAUCAAAAGCCAAGUAAAGGCAAUGAUUAAAGUCACUAGGCAUGAGAAGCAUCACAAAUGCCAAAUCAACUUGGAAAAGUCUCGAUCCCCAAAGCCAUGGGCAAUGGCUUGACACAACUGAGACAAAGAACACAUGAUUCCUUCAGAAGAGGUAGAAAGGGCUCAACACCAAUCAUGUGAAGAUCGAAAGCACAUGAUCCUUCAAGAAGAGCCAGAAAGGGCAACACCAAUCAUGUGACGACCGAAAGCUCAAAUCAAAUGUCGGUUCCUCAAGAAGAGGUAAAAGCUCAACACAACCGGUAAAAGAGCAAAAGAGAGCACAAAACUAGCACAAAGCUCAGAAGCUGCCACUAAACAUAAGCAACAUAGCAAAAGAGCACAUAAAGCUCACAGGCUCCCCCUAAACACAUGCACUCCCCCUAAAAACAUGCCACAAUGAAAUGCAUGCACAAGAGCAAAAGAAUGCAUGCCCCCCCUCAAAUGUAAAACACCCACUUAAAUGCAAGACUCCGUCUUAAAUACAAACAUCA
rnacentral:lncRNA from 1 species